ACGACUAGUUGCUCACUCGUCGCCUCUCUCACUUUGUUGAUAAUCUGACGGCAUUCCCCCGGGAUAUUGACUAAAAAGGUGCCCAUUCCAGUUCCCUGAUGGAUCUGCGGAGUCGGAUAUCUGGCACUGCGGAGAACCGAGCUGAUUGCAGUACCAGCACUCUGAAGAAGUUUCGAGGCAAGGCAAGACUGACUUCACGUGUGGAGUGGAAUCAUGUUGAUAUUCGGUGCAACUUUGGUGUGCUCACUGUGUUCAGUCAAAAAACAUUUACUGAUACAUUGAUUUAUAGUCAGCUGCCUGCUCCUGAAAUAUAGAAAUCUUGUGGUUCUCUUGGGCAGAA